rnacentral:misc_RNA from 1 species
AGUUUUCUGAAUUCUCUUGUGGAAGCAGACCUAUUCACCUGAUUUAAUAUGUACAUGCUGUCAUUAUUGUACUUCUUGCUGCUGGUUUUAUAGGCAGGUAAUGGGAGUAGGCCUCUGGUUCUUGGAGACAUUUUUGUUUGCUUAGAAGAUGGAAAUGGUGAGGCCAAGAAUGGUGGGCUUUCUGCUUGGCGAGUCAGCUUUGUUCCAGAUGAGCUGCUGCUAGUACUGCUGCCAGGGUCCUGAAUUUGGACCUUUUUUGGCUCACCAUUCUUCUCUGGCUCCUGAAACAACACAUAUUUGUAGUGAAUUGACAACUUUUACAACAAGGCUACAGGUUGAACUCUUUAAUUUAGCAGUGCAGGGACGAAGAAUUAGUAUACCUCUUUAGACUGGGUAGAAUCUUCUUUUGGUUUUUCAGCCAUAAGAUCUUUGCUUCCACGCUCACGAUAUGUUCGAGCCCUUCGUUUCAUUUUAGAUUUCCCAUGCCUACAAGGAGCAGGAUGAUGAUGAUCAGAAAUAUUUAGUUGUUCAAAGAAUGAAAAUCCUGCUGUUAAUCUUCAAUAUAAUCUACUACAACCACUCGACUAUUGAGUUACAAGAUCAAUGGCGAAAGAAAAUGAAAUUGAU